rnacentral:rRNA from 1 species
UACAGAGGUCUCAAGCGUUGUUCGGAUUCAUUGGGCGUAAAGGGUGCGUAGGUGGCGCGCUAAGUCAGGUGUGAAAUUUCGGAGCUUAACUCCGAAACUGCAUUUGAUACUGGCGUGCUUGAGGACUGGAGAGGAGACUGGAAUUUACGGUGUAGCAGUGAAAUGCGUAGAUAUCGUAAGGAAGACCAGUGGCGAAGGCGGGUCUCUGGACAGUUCCUGACGCUGAGGCACGAAGGUCAGGGGAGCAAACGGG